UUUGAAUUGGCUACUUGAAGAAAUCCCACGACAAUUCUGUUUGGGCAGCAAAACAACCUCUUGCUUGAAAUCAGUUGGGUUCCCAUCUAUGUAUACCCAGAAGUGGGAUUACUGAGUCAUAAGCUUACUGCAUUGUAAGAAUACGGUCUACAUCAAAGAUACAGAUGCAGUUAAAAAAGGGCCCCAAUGUUCAUAGCAGCAAUGGCC
rnacentral:lncRNA from 1 species